GCCUUCGUGGUGUAAUGGUCAGCACACUGAGCCGGUAAUUCAGAGGUCAGCGGUUCGAUCCCCGGCGAAGGCA
rnacentral:tRNA from 1 species